rfam:Brassica napus, WGS project CCCW01000000 data, contig: 24809
UGUUCUUUUUUACCGAGAGCGUGAUAUCAAAACAGAGACCAUAUCUAGAAGAUUAGCAUCGUCCUUGGGCAAAAAAGAUGACACACAUAAAUAAAGAAAUGAUCUAAACUUUU